ACGCCUCUGCGGUGACCGCGAGCUGCCCGAAGAUUCUCCUUGAGCCUAAUUACGAUGCCCAGGGGGCGGGUGCUGACCCCAGUGUGCACGACCGCUCCGGCGGGAAGCCUGACGGGGUCACCGAAGUCCCCACCUGAACCUCCGGUUCAAGGGCAAAGGCGGCAACGGCACUGCGGAGCGCG
rnacentral:other from 1 species